rnacentral:rRNA from 1 species
AUUGAACGCUGGCGGCAGGCCUAACACAUGCAAGUCGAGCGAGCGGCGGACGGGUGAGUAAUGUAUGGGGACUGCCCGAUAGAGGGGGAUAACUACUGGAAACGGUAGCUAAUACCGCAUACUAUCGGAUAACCCAUAUGGGAUUAGCUAGUAGUUGAGGUAAUGGCUCACCUAGGCGACGAUCCCUGGCUGGUCUGAGAGGUUGAUCAGCAACACUGGGACGAGGAAACGGCCCAGACUCCAACGGAGGCAGCAGUGGGGAAUAUUGCAAAAUGGGCGAAAGCCUGAUGCAGCCAUGCCGCGUGUAUGAAGAAGUCCCUAGGGUUGUAAAGUACUUUCAGUAGGGAGGCGUUACCGACAGAGGAAGCGCCGGCUAACUCCGUGCCAGCAGCCGCGGUAAUAC